CCUACGGGAGUCUGCAGUGAGGAAUAUUGGUCAAUGGCCGGAAGGCUGACCCAGCCCUGCCGCGUGCAGGUCAGUGCCCUAUGGGCGUUAAACUUCUUUUGUGCGGGAGCAAUAAUUGUCACGUGUGGCCAGACGAGAGUACCGUACGAAUACGCAUCGGCUAACUCCGUGCCAGCAGCCGCGGUAAUACGGGGGAGGCAAGCGUUAUCCGGAUUUAUUGGGUUUAAAGGGUGCGUAGGCUGGGAGGUAAGUCAGCGGUGAAAUGCCCCCGCUCAACGGGGUGAAGUGCCAUUGAUACUGCCUUGCGGGAAUGCGGAUGCCGUGGGAGGAAUGUGUGGUGUAGCGGUGAAAUGCAUAGACAGCACACAGAACACCGAUUGCGAAGGCAUCUCACGAAUCCGCGAUUGACGCUGAUGCACGAAAGCGUGGGUAUCAAACAGGAUUAGAUACCCCUGGAGUC
rnacentral:rRNA from 1 species